rnacentral:ncRNA from 1 species
AGGAUAGAGGCGCAAUGACCAUCAGUACACAAUUCUAGGUUCAUGAGAGCCGUUGUAAGAUUGUCGAAAGGGGAAAUUGCCGAAGCUUUCUGUAACUCAUGUAGCAGAAAAGCUGGGUCUGUAUUGAAUAAAUGCAGGACUGUCAUGUAGGAGACUAUAUGGGGGGCUACCUU